rnacentral:rRNA from 1 species
ACGAACGCUGGCGGCGUGCUUAACACAUGCAAGUCGAACGGAAAGGCCCUGCUUUUGUGGGGUGCUCGAGUGGCGAACGGGUGAGUAACACGUGAGUAACCUGCCCUUGACUUUGGGAUAACUUCAGGAAACUGGGGCUAAUACCGGAUAGGAGCUCCUGCUGCAUCGUGGGGGUUGGAAAGUUUCGGCGGUUGGGGAUGGACUCGCGGCUUAUCAGCUUGUUGGUGGGGUAGUGGCUUACCAAGGCUUUGACGGGUAGCCGGCCUGAGAGGGUGGCCGGCCACAUUGGGACUGAGAUACGGCCCAGACUCCUACGGGAGGCAGCAGUGGGGAAUAUUGCACAAUGGGCGGAAGCCUGAUGCAGCAACGCCGCGUGCGGGAUGACGGCCUUCGGGUUGUAAACCGCUUUCGCCUGUGACGAAGCGUGAGUGACGGUAAUGGGUAAAGAAGCACCGGCUAACUACGUG